GACGAACGCUGGCGGUGUGCUUAACACAUGCAAGUCGAACGGUAAGGCCCUUUCGGGGGUACACGAGUGGCGAACGGGUGAGUAACACGUGAGUAACCUGCCCUCAACUCUGGGAUAACAGUCGGAAACGGUUGCUAAUACUGGAUAUGAGCUUGCAAGGCAUCUUGUGGGUUGGAAAGAUUUUUUUGGUUGGGGAUGGACUCGCGGCCUAUCAGCUUGUUGGUGAGGUAGUGGCUCACCAAGGCUUCGACGGGUAGCCGGCCUGAGAGGGCGACCGGCCACAUUGGGACUGUGAUACGGCCCAAACUCCUACGGGAGGCAGCAGUGGGGAAUAUUGCACAAUGGACGGAAGUCUGAUGCAGCAACGCCGCGUGCGGGAUGACGGCCUUCGGGUUGUAAACCGCUUUCAAUUGUGACGAAGCUUUUUGUGACGGUAGCAGGAGAAGAAGCACCGGCUAACUACGUG
rnacentral:rRNA from 1 species